ACAUACAGGUGCUGCAUGGCUGUCGUCAGCUCGUGUCGUGAGAUGUUGGGUUAAGUCCCGCAACGAGCGCAACCCUUUUCCUUAUUUGCCAGCGGGUUAAGCCGGGAACUUUAAGGAUACUGCCAGUGACAAACUGGAGGAAGGCGGGGACGACGUCAAGUCAUCAUGGCCCUUACGACCAGGGCUACACACGUGCUACAAUGGUAGGUACAGAGGGUUGCUACACAGCGAUGUGAUGCUAAUCUCAAAAAGCCUAUCGU
rnacentral:rRNA from 1 species